rnacentral:rRNA from 1 species
AAUCAACGCUGGCGGCGUGCCUCAGACAUGCAAGUCGAACGAUUAAAGCUCUCUUCGGAGAGUGCAUAGAGUGGCGCACGGGUGAGUAACACGUAAGUAAUCUACCCUCGAAUGGGGAAUAACGUCCGGAAACGGACGCUAAUACCGCAUAAUGCAGCGGCACCGCAAGGUGACAGUUGUUAAAGAUUUAUCGCUUGAGGAGGAGCUUGCGGCAGAUUAGCUAGUUGGUAAGGUAAUGGCUUACCAAGGCUACGAUCUGUAACCGGUCUAAGAGGACGGUCGGUGACACUGACACUGAAUACCGGGUCAGACUCCUACGGGAGGCAGCAGUCGGGAAUUUUGGGCAAUGGGCGAAAGCCUGACCCAGCAACGCCGCGUGAAGGAUGAAGUAUUUCGGUAUGUAAACUUCGAAAGAAUAGGAAGAAUUAAUGACGGUACUAUUUAUAAGGUCCGGCUAACUACGUGCCAGCCGCCGCGGUAACAC